AUAGCUUAGAUUUCGCCCGCGAUUUUAAUCUUUGGUUUCUGGAUAAAAUUUGUGCAUGGACAUAAGCUAAAAUCACAUGUAAGUGCAAUGAGGCAGGGAGAGAAAGAGAUAAAAGGAAAUUGACAAGUACAUUUUUUUUGCUCCGAGCAACAUAUCUCCCAAAUAUGUUUCCCAUCCCAGACCAUAUCUCUACUACAAAAUCCUUGCUCCUAGCUUCUCCAACAUGCCCCUUGCAUACAGAGCCGUUGAGAAAACUAUAUCCAAAAACAGUUGAGAAAAUAACUCUUCAGACCCAAGAGGCCAAGACCCGUGUUGCCCCACCUCCCACCAUGAUCCGUCCUCCGAACUCCGUUGCAACGCCUGCCACUCCGCUGGUUCCCUGCCCAGCUUCCCUUAUCUGCUCUGCCAACACACUUCACCAUGCCUGCAUCCACCCAGCUCGCAACGAUCCUGGCCACUCACGUCCUCUGCCACAAUUUGGCGGUCGUUCGUAUGCCCUUCGCUCGUCCAUCUCGAACAAAAGCUUCACAUGUGCAUGGUCAGGCUGGCAAAGUGAGAUUUGGGUGGAUCAGACUGUGUUCACAACCAAAUCCAUUCCACUGCUAAAAGUGCUAGUAGCAAAGACUACUCAUGCGUAGUAGGAAAAAUAUCCUCAACACAUCUUGUCAGUUUUCUAUUAUGAUUUCAGAUAUGCUCGUAACCAAUCCCUAGCUGAUAUAGCUAGGAAAGGUCACAAGUGUUCCUUAAAAAACACAAGAUCCUCCAUUAAGGUAUACUUUCUGUUUGGUCGAGCCAUUUCAGCUAAGCCAUCGAAUUCUUUUGGUAAAUUCAGAAUCAUGAUUCCUCAGACCUGACGAUCUGGCAUACUAUUCCAAUAUAUUCUGAACAAUAUUUAAACCUGGGUUUAGACUAAGAUUAGUCCACAACCUGAUUGUGUAUCUCUCGUCUGUCUAGUAUCUCAACACUUUAUGAUUAAACCAUAAACAUUGUAAUAUACUGGAAAAGCACCAUCAACUGCAGUAAAAUUCAGAAAACCUGAAUACUGUACCCGUGAUCUAUUUUCGCAUUCUAUGAGCAACCUCAACUACGAUAAACAAUUCAUGCCCGAUGACCACCUGUUUAGAACCAAUGAUCAAUCUAAGCGAAAGUUCCCAAUACGAGGUGCAAUACAUAGUUUACAGAAUCACAUCGACAAAACGAACUGCAAAACUAUCUUCUUCACCAAACGAACUUGCAUAAGCUAACGAAAACAGGUAAAUAAUCCAGCUCCAUAAAUGCGGUGCAAAGCAGACUACAUAACAAUAUCUGAAAAUACACCGCAAGUUUAAUCAUAGUAAGAAUCGAGAAAACAUAACAUUUCCUAUUGCCUGCAGGCACUUUAGCACAGAAGCAUCAAUACGAACACAAUCAUCUUAAAUUCUUAAUCCAUACCAAAUAGUUCAAUGAUUCCUCAUAGUUCAAAUAGAGAGUUCAUAAAUAGUGGUAAUGAUGAGUAAUACAACACACAUUUUACAGGUGUAGAUAAAAUUAACACCCGAUCACGCGCAAUGUACAAUUUUUUUUAAUAAACAUACAAACUCAAUGGAUCAAUCGAGCAAGACGGUCUUUCAUCACACAACAUUGCGUACCUGGCAGAGGUCCCUGCGUCCAGCGCCCUCACAUUGUAUCUGUAUACCUAUGUACCUAUGAUUCAGGAUAGGUGAAGCAUACAAACGAUCAGAAAAAUAUAGAAAAAUGAUCAGAACAUAAAUACCUGUGAUGUUCGGUGAUGUAGGGCAUGGCCUUGCGCCGCUCCUCGCUGCAAGAAACGAUGUUCAGGACAGGUGAAGCAUACAAACG
rnacentral:lncRNA from 1 species